GAUGAACGCUGGCGGCAGGCUUAACACAUGCAAGUCGAGCGCCCCGCAAGGGGAGCGGCAGACGGGUGAGUAACGCGUGGGAAUCUACCCAUCACUACGGAACAACUCCGGGAAACUGGAGCUAAUACCGUAUACGUCCUUCGGGAGAAAGACUUAUCGGUGAUGGAUGAGCCCGCGUUGGAUUAGCUAGUUGGUGGGGUAAUGGCCUACCAAGGCGACGAUCCAUAGCUGGUCUGAGAGGAUGAUCAGCCACACUGGGACUGAGACACGGCCCAGACUCCUACGGGAGGCAGCAGUGGGGAAUAUUGGACAAUGGGCGAAAGCCUGAUCCAGCCAUGCCGCGUGAGUGAUGACGGCCCUAGGGUUGUAAAGCUCUUUCGCAGGUGAAGAUAAUGACGGUAACCUGAGAAGAAGCCCCGGCUAACUCCGUGCCAGCCGCCGCAGUAACAC
rnacentral:rRNA from 1 species